GUCGGCUUCACUGGGUUUCCAGGACCUAAGGGGCCAAAUGGAGAUUUGGGUUUCAAAGGCAUACCUGGUCCUAAAGGUCCUCUUGGCAUUCUGGGUUUCAGUGGACCUGUUGGUCCAGAAGGGAUGAUUGGCCCAAUGGGGAAA